CUUACUGACGGGAAUGAAGUUCUCCCAAGGUUUUACCUAAACUGCUUAUAAAGCUGAUGACUUCUGUGAAUUA
rnacentral:ncRNA from 22 species